CCUACGGGAGGCAGCAGUGGGGAAUAUUGGGCAAUGGGCGCAAGCCUGACCCAGCAACGCCGCGUGAAGGAAGAAGGCUUUCGGGUUGUAAACUUCUUUUCUCAGGGACGAAGAAAGUGACGGUACCUGAGGAAUAAGCCACGGCUAACUACGGGCCAGCAGCCGCGGUAAUACGUAGGUGGCAAGCGUUAUCCGGAUGUACUGGGUGUAAAGGGCGUGUAGGCGGGGAAGAAAGUCAGAUGUGAAAACCACGGGCUCAACCUGUGACCUGCAUUUGAAACUGUUUUUCUUGAGUACUGGAGAGGCGGACGGAAUUCCUGGUGUAGCGGUGAAAUGCGUAGAGAUUAGGAGGAACACCAGUGGCGAAGGCGGUCUGCUGGACAGCAACUGACGCUGAGGCGCGAAAGCGUGGGGAGCAAACAGGAUUAGAUACCCGGGUAGUC
rnacentral:rRNA from 1 species